rnacentral:rRNA from 1 species
UACGAAGGGUGCAAGCGUUACUCGGAAUUACUGGGCGUAAAGCGUGCGUAGGCGGUUUGUUAAGUCCGCUGUGAAAGCCCUGGGCUCAACCUGGGAAUUGCAGUGGAUACUGGCAAGCUAGAGUGCGGUAGAGGAUGGUGGAAUUCCCGGUGUAGCGGUGAAAUGCGUAGAGAUCGGGAGGAACACCCGUGGCGAAGGCGGCCAUCUGGACCAGCACUGACGCUGAGGCACGAAAGCGUGGGGAGCGAACAGG